GAUGAAGAACGUAGCGAAAUGCGAUAAGUAGUGUGAAUUGCAGAAUUCAGUGAAUCAUCGAAUCUUUGAACGCACAUUGCGCCCCUCGGUAUUCCGUGGGGCAUGCCUGUUCGAGCGUCAUCUACACCCUCAAGCUCUGCUUGGUGUUGGGCGUCUGUCCCGCCUCCGCGCGUGGACUCGCCCCAAAUUCAUUGGCAGCGGUCCUUGCCUCCUCUCGCGCAGCACAUUGCGCUUCUCGAGGGGAUACGGCUCGCGUCCCACAAGCACAUUUACCGUCUUUGACCUCGGAUCAGGUAGGGAUACCCGCUGAACUUAAGCAUAUCAAUAAGCGGAGGA
rnacentral:misc_RNA from 1 species